rnacentral:rRNA from 1 species
CAGCCGCCGCGGUAAUACCGGCGGCCCGAGUGGCGGUCACUAUUAUUGGGCUUAAAGCGUCCGUAGCCGGGUUGGGAAGUCCUCCGGGAAAUCUGGCCGCUUAACGGUCAGAAUGCCGGAGGAUACUCCCAGCCUAGGGAGCGGGAGAGGCCGAGGGGAUUCCCGGAGUAGGGGUGGAAUCCUAUAAUCCCGGGAGGACCACCUGUGGCGAAGGCGCUCGGCUGGAACGCGUCCGACGGUGAGGGACGAAGGCCAGGGGAGCAAACCGGAUUAGAUACCCGGGUAGUCCUGGCGGUAAACGAUGCGGACUUUGUGUCGGACAAGCUAUGAGCUUGUCCGGUGCCGGAGGGAAACCGUUAAGUCCGCCGCCUGGGGAGUACGGCCGCAAGGCUGAAACUUAAAGGAAUUGGCGGG